CAAAGCACUUUGAAGAGAGAGUUAAAGAGGACGUGAAACCGGUAGGAUGGAAACGGAUAGAGCCAGCGAAGUCGCUUGUAUUCAGCCAAAAGCCUUGGGCUGCCUGUCGUGUCUGCUUUGUCAGCCGGCUGGUCUGCCUKGGGCCGAGGUGCAUUUGCAGGCGUUUGCGCUGAGACUUGCGGGGCAGCUGCUGGACCCGUGUGCUAGAGGCUUCCCUCUGGGUUGAACCUGGCCGCGGUUACAGCCGGUUUGGCCUGCUCGUACCGGCCCGGUCGGCGGCGGUUGGGCUCCUGUUUGCAGGCCAGGGUGUCGCAUGCGAUGCUCAGUUUGUGGGCUGGAGGUUGGCCGUCGUCCCGGGUCGACUCUCGGUGUAGAAGCUGGUCAUCUCUCCGACCCGUCUUGAAACACGGACCAAGGAGUUUAGCGUAUGCGCAAGUCAUUGGGUGUUAAAACUCACAGGCGCAAAGAAAUUAAAGGCUCGGUCGCCGGGCUGACAUGUGAGUGCCGUCCAGGCACGCAGCAUGGUCCCGUUGCAGUCGCUUGCGACGUAGCGGAGACAGAGCGUAUGCGCUGAGACCCGAAAGAUGGUGAACUAUUCCUGAGCAGGACGAAGCCAGAGGAAACUCUGGUGGAAGUCCGAAGCGAUUCUGACGUGCAAAUCGAUCGUCUGACUUGGGUAUAGGGGCGAAAGACUAAUCGAACCAUCUAGUAG
rnacentral:rRNA from 1 species